rnacentral:rRNA from 1 species
UGGGGAAUAUUGGACAAUGGACCAAGAGUCUGAUCCAGCAAUUCUGUGUGCACGAUGAAGUUUUUCGGAAUGUAAAGUGCUUUCAGUUGGGAAGAAGAAAGUGACGGUACCAACAGAAGAAGCGACGGCUAAAUACGUGCCAGCAGCCGCGGUAAUACGUAUGUCGCAAGCGUUAUCCGGAUUUAUUGGGCGUAAAGCGCGUCUAGGCGGCCAGAUAAGUCUGAUGUGAAAAUGCGGGGCUCAACUCCGUAUUGCGUUGGAAACUGUAUGGCUAGAGUACUGGAGAGGUAAGCGGAACUACAAGUGUAGAGGUGAAAUUCGUAGAUAUUUGUAGGAAUGCCGAUGGGGAAGCCAGCUUACCGGACAGAUACUGACGCUAAAGCGCGAAAGCGUGGGUAGCAAACAGGAUUAGAUACCC